AUGGAUCUCACGAUCCAGUUGAUAGAACAGAUUACCAAAAGUUUCUCUGACGAUCAAAAAAUUGGUUGUGGUACGUAUGGGGAAGUUUACAAGGGAGUGCACAAUGGUGAAGAAAUUGCCGUUAAGAAGCUUUACAACAUGCAAGGAAUUGAUGACACGGAAUUUACAAAUGAGUUCCGUAAUCUUAUGAAGGUCAAGCAUCCGAACAUUGUACGCUUAAUUGGCUACUGCUAUGAAAUACGACAUAGACAUGUCGAGAUGAAUGGAGACCUUGUUUUCGCUAAAACAAUAGAGCAACUUCUCUGCUUCGAAUAUAUGGAGGGUGGAAGCCUUGCUAAGCAUAUUUCUGAUGAAUCCUGUGGUCUUGAUUAGCCCACUCGAUACGAAAUCAUUAAGGGAAUUUGUGAGGGUCUAAAUCAUCUUCAUAAUGGGCGGAGUGAUUAUAUUUAUCAUCUGGAUUUGAAACCGGAUAAUAUACUGUUGGAUAAAAACAUGAUGCCUAGGAUUGCAGAUUUCGGCAUGUCAAGACUCUUAGCUUCAUCCAAAACGCAUAUAACUCAAACUCUGAAAGGAACACUAGGAUACAUGCCACCAGAAUUCAUUGACAAGCGCAGAAUCACAAAGAAGUACGAUGUGUUCAGUGUUGGUGUCAUAAUUUUACAAAUAAUGGCUGGAGCUCAGGGCUACAACAAUUGUUGUGAGAUGACUUCUCCCCAACAGUUUAUCGAGCUUGUACAUGAGAACUGGAAGAAAAGGCUUCAAGGGAUGCCAAUGCAGGAAAAUACUUACUUAAUUGACAUCCUAGCAGUGCAGAGAUGUAUUGAACUCGCAGUGAGAUGUGUGAAGGCCGAUCCCGUAAAAAGGCCUAGUAUAAUGGACGUCGUCGAUGAACUGAAUAAACUAGAUGCUGACAUUAAGAAUAUAUCACUUCCAGGCCAGGAAACUCAUCAAAACUUUGGGAACUUCAGUAAUUUGGAAACUUCUGACUCCAAAGAUCUUGAGCUUGAUUCAGCCCUCGAGCUACGCUUCCCAUUUGAGCUAAACAGGGACAUAUCAUGUUGUAUGCAGCUAAUCAACAAGACAAACGAGUUCGUUGCAUUCAACAUCAGAACCAAUAAAAUGAAGUACAUUGCACGGCCAAAUAACGGGAAUAUGGCACCAUAUUCCAAGAUUUAUAUCACAUUUACAUUGCUGGCACAAGACAAGGAGCCACCCUAUAUGCGGUGCCAAGACAUGCUCAUUGUGCAGAGCACUAGGCUCAGCAUGGAAUCCGGUGAUGAGAUCACUGACGAGUUCUUCGAGAAGGCUGUGGCAAGUAGGGUGGUGGAUGAGGUGAAGUUGCCGAUUGUCUAUGUUGUGUAG
rnacentral:rRNA from 1 species